UACAGAGGUCUCAAGCGUUUGUUCGGAUUCAUUGGGCGUAAAGGGUGUGUAGGUGGCGCGCUAAGUCGGGUGUGAAAUUCGAUGCUUAACUCCGAAACUGCAUUCGAUACUGGCGUGCUUGAGGACUGGAGAGGAGACUGGAAUUUACGGUGUAGCGGUGAAAUGCGUAGAUAUCGUAAGGAAGACCAGUGGCGAAGGCGGGUCUCUGGACAGUUCCUGACGCUGAGGCACGAAGGCCAGGGGAGCAAACGGG
rnacentral:rRNA from 1 species